rnacentral:ncRNA from 1 species
UUAAAAAAAAAAAAGUGCACAAAGCUGGCUGGCCAAUGAUGUACAGUCAAGAAUAAUAGAAUAGGAUUCUGGCUCUUUUUUUUUUGUUGGUUUUUGGAAUCAGAGCUAUGAUUAUGAGCAAUAGCUGGGGGCAUUCAUAUUGUGCCACUUGAACAUUUUUGGACCAGUGUAAGAUGAACUAAAGCAACAGCAUUUGCCAAAAAUGUUUUAAUU